UGGGGAAUAUUGGACAAUGGGCGCAAGCCUGAUCCAGCCAUGCCGCGUGAGUGAUGACGGCCCUAGGGUUGUAAAGCUCUUUCACCGGUGAAGAUAAUGACGGUAACCGGAGAAGAAGCCCCGGCUAACUUCGUGCCAGCAGCCGCGGUAAUACGAAGGGGGCUAGCGUUGUUCGGAAUAACUGGGCGUAAAGCGCACGUAGGCGGAUUGUUUAGUUAGGGGUGAAAUCCCGGGGCUCAACCCCGGAACUGCCUUUAAUACUGGCAAUCUGGAGUUCGAGAGAGGUGAGUGGAAUUCCGAGUGUAGAGGUGAAAUUCGUAGAUAUUCGGAGGAACACCAGUGGCGAAGGCGGCUCACUGGCUCGAUACUGACGCUGAGGUGCGAAAGCGUGGGGAGCAAACAGGAUUAGAUACCCCCGUAGUCC
rnacentral:rRNA from 1 species